GUGGGGAAUCUUAGACAAUGGGGGCAACCCUGAUCUAGCCAUGCCGCGUGAGUGAUGAAGGCCUUAGGGUUGUAAAGCUCUUUCAGUGGGGAAGAUAAUGACGGUACCCACAGAAGAAGCCCCGGCUAACUCCGUGCCAGCAGCCGCGGUAAUACGGAGGGGGCUAGCGUUGUUCGGAAUUACUGGGCGUAAAGCGCACGUAGGCGGAUCGGAAAGUUGGGGGUGAAAUCCCAGGGCUCAACCCUGGAACUGCCUUCAAAACUAUCGGUCUGGAGUCCGAGAGAGGUGAGUGGAAUUCCGAGUGUAGAGGUGAAAUUCGUAGAUAUUCGGAGGAACACCAGUGGCGAAGGCGGCUCACUGGCUCGGUACUGACGCUGAGGUGCGAAAGCGUGGGGAGCAAACAGGAUUAGAAACCCCAGUAGUCC
rnacentral:rRNA from 1 species